GGGUCCACAGAUCAGUGGUAGAGCAUCUGCUUUGCAUGCAGAAUGUUCCAUGUUCAAUCCCUGGCAUCUCCA